GAUGAACGCUGGCGGCGUGCCUAAUACAUGCAAGUCGAGCGAACAGAUGAGGAGCUUGCUCCUCUGACGUUAGCGGCGGACGGGUGAGUAACACGUGGAUAACCUACCUAUAAGACUGGGAUAACUUCGGGAAACCGGAGCUAAUACCGGAUAAUAUAUUGAACCGCAUGGUUCAAUAGUGAAAGACGGUUUUGCUGUCACUUAUAGAUGGAUCCGCGCCGCAUUAGCUAGUUGGUAAGGUAACGGCUUACCAAGGCGACGAUGCGUAGCCGACCUGAGAGGGUGAUCGGCCACACUGGAACUGAGACACGGUCCAGACUCCUACGGGAGGCGGCAGUAGGGAAUCUUCCGCAAUGGGCGAAAGCCUGGCGGAGCAACGCCGCGUGAGUGAUGAAGGUCUUCGGAUCGUAAAACUCUGUUAUUAGGGAAGAACAAAUGUGUAAGUAACUAUGCACGUCUUGACGGUACCUAAUCAGAAAGCCACGGCUAACUACGUG
rnacentral:rRNA from 1 species